rnacentral:rRNA from 1 species
UCAUUAUUGAAUUUGANGGGCUGNUGCUGAUCAUCNNAUAUGUGCACGCCAUUAUUUCCAAGNUUACACUUGUGCACUUUUGUAGACUGAUUUCAUAGCGGAUCAGUCUAUGUUUUUCAAAUCAACUCUUUAUUAAAAUAGUGAAUGUCUUGUCUCGCCUUGCUUAUUUAUUAUGCAAGUGACAAAUCAAUACAACUUUCAACAACGGAUCUCUUGGCUCUCGCAUCGAUGAAGAACGCAGCGAAAUGCGAUAAGUAAUGUGAAUUGCAGAAUUCAGUGAAUCAUCGAAUCUUUGAACGCACCUUGCGCUCCUUGGUAUUCCGAGGAGCAUGCUUGUUUGAGUGUCAUUAAAUUAUCAAUAUCUACGAACUAGUUUUGUAGGUGCUUGGAUUUGGAGAAUUUUUGCUGGCUUUUACAAGUUGGCUUCUCUUAAAUGUAUCAGCAUUAUCUUGUGUGGAUAAGCUUUGGNUUGAUAAAUUAUCUAUGCCAUUGCUUUGAG